GGCUAGAGUGCGGUAGGGGAGAUUGGAAUUCCUGGUGUAGCAGUGGAAUGCGCAGAUAUCAGGAGGAACACCGAUGGCGAAGGCAGAUCUCUGGGCCGUAACUGACGCUGAGGAGCGAAAGCAUGGGGAGCGAACAGGAUUAGAUACCCUGGUAGUCCAUGCCGUAAACGUUGGGAACUAGAUGUAGGGCCUGUUCCACGGGUUCUGUGUCGUAGCUAACGCAUUAAGUUCCCCGCCUGGGGAGUACGGCCGCAAGGCUAAAACUCAAAGGAAUUGACGGGGGCCCGCACAAGCGGCGGAGCAUGCGGAUUAAUUCGAUGCAACGCGAAGAACCUUACCAAGGCUUGACAUGUAGAAGAACGGGUCAGAGAUGAUCAACUCUUUGGACACUUCUAUACAGGUGGUGCAUGGUUGUCGUCAGCUCGUGUCGUGAGAUGUUCGGUUAAGUCCGGCAACGAGCGCAACCCUCGUCCUAUGUUGCCAGCACGUAAUGGUGGGAACUCAUGGGAUACUGCCGUGGUCAACACGGAGGAAGGUGGGGAUGACGUCAAAUCAUCAUGCCCCUUAUGUCUUGGGCUUCACGCAUGCUACAAUGGCCGGUACAAAGGGCAGCGAAGGAGCGAUCUGGAGCGAAUCCCAAAAAGCCUGCCCCAGUUGGAAUCGCAGGCUGCAACCCGCCUGCGUGAACACGGAAUUCGUAGUAAUCGCGAAUCAGCUACGUCGCGGUGAAUACGUUCCCGGGC
rnacentral:rRNA from 1 species